rnacentral:rRNA from 1 species
AACGAACGCUGGCGGCAGGCUUAACACAUGCAAGUCGAGCGCCCCGCAAGGGGAGCGGCCGACGGGUGAGUAACGCGUGGGAAUCUACCCAUCUCUACGGAAUAACGCAUGGAAACGUGUGCUAAUACCGUAUACGUCCUUCGGGAGAAAGAUUUAUCGGAGAUGGAUGAGCCCGCGUUGGAUUAGCUAGUUGGUGGGGUAAAGGCCUACCAAGGCGACGAUCCAUAGCUGGUCUGAGAGGAUGAUCAGCCACACUGGGACUGAGACACGGCCCAGACUCCUACGGGAGGCAGCAGUGGGGAAUAUUGGACAAUGGGCGCAAGCCUGAUCCAGCCCUGCCGCGUGAGUGAUGAAGGCCCUAGGGUUGUAAAGCUCUUUCACCGGUGAAGAUAAUGACGGUAACCGGAGAAGAAGCCCCGGCUAACUUCGUGCCAGCCGCCGCAGUAAGAC